rnacentral:lncRNA from 1 species
GCCCUCGCCUUGGAUCUCAUCUUGUCGGCUUGUAGAUUCCUCGCGUCCUCCUUGAGCUCAGAAGCAGCAGCAGCGCUAUCUUCAUCUCACGAGCAUUGUCAGUUUGGACACCUUCGCACAUGCGCACAGGCCAUUCAAUCUGACACCCUCGUCAGGGCCAAAAAACUUUCCAAUGUAUUCAUCAUCAUCACUUUUUGUCCUAUCGUGUCUCCUUUAGAUCACUUAUCUCUUUCCCUCCUCCUCCACUCGCUCCGCAACAUCUCGGAUCGCCCCCCACCUCCCCUUCUUGAGCCCUCCAAGAGGAAUAAGUGCUAUUUUUCAGGGACCUGCGGAAUCCGGUACCACACUGGACAUUGAAUCCUGGACGGGGUCAAGGUCGCAGCCCUCACGCGCAAGAUUGUUGCCAUUUUCCUGUGGUUUAGCGCAGGAAGGGAGGGAUGCUGGCCCAAACCCCGGAAGAGAGGUGUUCUGUAAACCAGGCCUCAGAACAUCCACCUUGAGAACUGAUGUCAGCAACAUAUAUUGUAUUUAUUUAUUUUAUCAAUAAUUUAAUAAAGAGGUUUGUCAGUUGGGUAUAUCAAUCACUAGACUAAACAAAUCCCUGUUAUUUUAUUUGUUUGAAUAUGUCUACAGUUGUAAGUAGGGUUUUAUUAAGUGAAAUAAAAUACAUACAGGCA